rnacentral:rRNA from 1 species
GUCGAGAAUUUUUCUCAAUGGGGGAAACCCUGACGCAGCGACGCCGCGUGAGGGAUGAAGGGCUUCGGGUUGUAAACCCCUGUCAUUUGGGAACAUGGUUACUGGUGGCCCCCCGUGACUUGAUCGUACCGACUGAGGAACGGCCGGCUAACUCUUUGCCAGCAGCCGCGGUAAUACAGAGGUCCCAAGCGUUGUUCGGAUUCACUGG